AUACGAAAGGUGCAAGCGUUGUUCGGAUUUACUGGGCGUAAAGAGAGUGUAGGUUGUUUAUUAAGUCGGAUGUGAAAUCCCGGGGCUCAACCUCGGAACUGCAUUCGAUACUGGUAGACUAGAGUUCGGGAGGGGUAAGCGGAAUUCCGUGUGUAGCAGUGAAAUGCGUAGAUAUACGGAGGAACACCUGAGGCGAGGGCGGCUUACUGGACCGAUACUGACACUGAGACUCGAAAGCGUGGGUAGCAAACAGGAUUAGAAACCCGAGUAGUCC
rnacentral:rRNA from 1 species